UGCAAAAGAAGAGGGAAGUGGGCAUCACCAAGACGAAUUGUCAACAAAAUGAAACUACCUAAAACUGCUGCAGAUCAUUUCUUGAAAGGAAGUAAUAAAAGGAAACAUAAAGUUGGAAAAUGUGCACCAUCAUUGUUCUGAAGACGAAUGUCUGAAGUAGUUUGAAAACUUGAAACGAUACUUUAAGAUAAACAUUCGAUAUCAAGAAAGGGUAAUCAAAAUUUUGCAUGUUGUUGUGUGUUAGGCAUUGACGUUAUAGAUUUACCUUUUUCAUAGCGCUGUGGAAUGACCCUUCUUUGUAUCAUUGCGAUAACAAAUGGCUAUAUACGACACGAUUUAAGUUGACUGGUUGAAAUCACAUUUUUUCACUUUUCUUCCAAUUUUCGACUAUUUGCCCAAACGCACUUGCCUGUUUGGGAAACUGCGUUUGGGAUCGGAAGUUGAGUCAACAUGUUUCCAGUUUGAUAAAAGUUUGAACUACUUAAUUUCUUUGUUUAGUCAUAAUUAUAUUAAGUUGAAUCAUCUUAAUAAUAAUUAAUCAACUUGAUAAUUAAU